GUGAAAAUGUAUGUCUGUGAGGAAGGAGGGAACAUUAUGCUAGCGCAGUGUCGAGGACAUUCUGGGAACAUUGUGCUUCUGCGGAGUAAAAGCUCAGCAGGGGCUCGUAAGAAGUCGUGAUCUCCUGCUUUUAAUAAUAGCUCUCGGCUCGUGACCAGCGGAUGCCCAACUGUGGCGCGUAAUUUUCGCGCCCUCAUUGUGCCGGCGUCUGUUAUUCGCGCUCUUUGUAAGUGACCGUUAUUAGCGUCGACUAAAGGGCUCCUAAAUUAGUUCCUGUUUAAAUUAGAAACCAUCUAUCAAACAAGGUCCGAGCGAUCGAGGGAUGUCCAGCACAUUAUGCUUUUCACGUUUUGUUCCAAUGAAGUAAAACAGGGGUUGGGCACCAGCCGGCAGUUAUCUGGUCCAGGAGGCAGUGUGUCGGGAAUGCCGUCAUUGUCAUCAUCAUCGUCACAUUCGUCUCCCAGUCCGUCUUUAUCUGUGUCCAGCUGGGAGCUGUUGAUUACCAG